rnacentral:snRNA from 1 species
AAACUUACCUGGCUGGGGGCGUCUCGCGAUCAUUAAGGCGGGACCCCCAUGGCGAGGCCCGCGCAUUGCACUUUCGCCAGGGCUGACCCGUGUGGCAGUCUCGAACUGAGAUUCGCCAACAGCUAAAUUUUUGUGUGUGGGGCUGCGUACGCGCGGCCCUGA